GACGGAGGGUGCAAGCGUUGCUCGGAAUCAUUGGGCGUAAAGGGUGCGUAGGCGGCUUUUUAAGUCUGACGUGAAAGCCCAGGGCUUAGCCUUGGAAGUGCGCCAGAAACUGGAAGGCUAGAGUGCCGGAGGGGAGAGUGGAAUUCCUGGUGUAGCGGUGAAAUGCGUAGAUAUCUGGAGGAACGCCGGCGGCGAAAGCGACUCUCUGGUCUGUAACUGACGCUGAGGUGCGAAAGCUAGGGGAGCAAACGGG
rnacentral:rRNA from 1 species